rnacentral:misc_RNA from 1 species
UUGAAUUCUAAAAAGAAAUUUAUUAACUCAGACUACAGAGAAGCAGAUUUUAUAUUACAUUUUUAACUGCAUUCAGCAAAUUUAACGACUAGGAAACCAACAAUCACUCGAUCCCAGCACCAGUAAUUAGACUUUAGAAGCAUCUAUAAUGAAGCAUCCCCGAUCGUCCGCUUCAUCCACAAUGAUAUGGCAGAUAUUAUUUGUUCCGAUACAGUUGACAUCUCUCUCUCCUUAUAGCAAACUGGAAUCUUUGGUCUUGCUUUACCCCUCUGGAUUGCAUUACGAGAUUCGUCGCUGCAAGCUUUGGGUACAGCAGUGCCGUUGUAGGCCUUGCAGAUGUAGCUUAUAAAAUUUUCAUAGUCCUCAUAAAGUGGUUGCCCAUCCACCACUACCCAAGGCACAUAUCGAUGAGGAGGCUGCAGGGCAUUUGUUUCAGCUGCAUAUUGUAAUUCAAGCUCUUUGCCAUAUCCACUACUGUAGCAAUCAGCUAUGGGUUUUGGGGUCCAAACCCAAUGUCUCAAAGCAUGAUUCCCAUUGGGGGUAUUUGCGCUCAUACACCAGAGACUCAAUGCAAUGGAUGAAACGAAAAUGAUCCUCCAACUGAGGCCAAACAUGAAUUGCACAAGCUUCCACGGUAUUCAAAUGGCAUUCGAAAGGACCAUGCUGGCAAACGAAGGAGUCAUUGCCGUUGAGUCUGGCAUUACCCCAAGGGGAGAGGUAGAGAUCUACAAUGGAAAAGAGCUCAUCAUCUUCAAAGAGCUCAAUCAGAUCAUUGACAAUGAAAUUGGCGCUGUAAGGACACAGGGAUUCAUAGUAUAAUCCCAAGGAGACUUUUCCUGAAUCUGAAGAAGUCGAAGAGGAGAAGCUAAAUAAUAAUAAAAGGUAAAACAAACAAGAGAAGGUUUUUGCUGCACCACAAACUGAAGCCAUUUGGGACUUUUGGAGGGAGGGGAUGAGCAAUCAGACUC